rnacentral:rRNA from 1 species
UACGUAGGGGGCAAGCGUUGUCCGGAAUCAUUGGGCGUAAAGCGCGCGUAGGCGGCCCGGUAAGUCCGCUCUGAAAGUCCAGGGCUUAACCCUGGAAAGCGGGUGGAUACUGCCGGGCUUGAAUCCGGAAGGGGCGAGUGGAAUUCCUGGUGUAGCGGUGGAAUGCGCAGAUAUCAGGAGGAACACCAAUUGCGAAGGCAGCUCGCUGGGACGUUACUGACGCUGAGACGCGAAAGCGUGGGGAGCAAACAGG